rnacentral:tRNA from 1 species
GCAGGGGUGCCAGAGCCAGGCCAAAUGGGCAGGACUUAAGAUCCUGUGACCUUAGGGUCUUCGAGAGUUCAAUGCCAAUCCCUUUUCUUGGAAAGAAAAGGUCUUGGCGAACCCCAAAAGAAAAAAGUGGGUUGGACAAAUCUCUCCCCCUGCA